UCCCCGUUUUCCGGGGCAGUCUCUGUAGAGUUCCCGGCUUUACCCGCUGGCAACUACAGACAAGGGUUGCGCUCGUUGCGGGACUUAACCCAACAUCUCACGACACGAGCUGACGACAGCCAUGCAGCACCUGUGCACGGACUCCGAAGAGGGGCCGAUGUUUCUCAGGAGUUUCCCAUGCAUGUCAAGCCUAGGUAAGGUUCUUCGCGUUGCGUCGAAUUAAACCACAUGCUCCACCGCUUGUGCGGGCCCCCGUCAAUUCCUUUGAGUUUCAGCCUUGCGGCCGUACUCCCCAGGCGGGGUACUUCCUGCGUUAGCUGCGGCACCGGCGGUAACCCGCCGACACUUAGUAUUCAUAGUUUAAGGCGUGGACUAC
rnacentral:misc_RNA from 1 species